GCAAGAUCAGCAUCCGACAGGUAGCAGGAGAGGAGCACCUACUCCAGAUCUACACAUCUGUAGUAGAGAAUGAAAAGGGAGUGGUCCCUUUUUUCUCCCAGUCUGACUGUACCAUCACCUCUCAGACGGGGUCGAGGGCCUUUAAAAUCCCCCCGUCCAUCCGUCAGCGGAUCACCGCCACCUUCGAUUCCCCAAACUCCAAAGGGAAGGACUGGCAGCUCUUGGCCCAAAAGCUUCACAUAGACAGGAACUUGUGCUACUUUGCAUGUCAGGAGAGCCCAUCCUCUGUGAUUCUGAGUUUGUGGGAAGCCCAGCACCAGGACUCUGGGGACCUGGACUCCCUGGCCAGCGCCCUUGAGGAAAUCGGAAAGGUCCAGUCCCCUAGGGGAACCUCCCCUCUCAUCUGCAGAAAUGAGGACUCUGAGUUCACAAAGGUUGGGUAGGAAAAGUCUACAGAGGCCAAGUGGUGAUGAACCUUUACUGCAUGAACACUGACGAUCAGCUGCAACUAACCUACAGAGACAAGGGCAAGGAGAUUAAUGGACGAGUUAUUAAUGGCACACCUCUGCUGAACCAAACGGUCCAUAAAGACACAACAGAGUCAAGAACUGGCCGAGUCAGAAGUUUUAGUGUUUUAGGAGACACAUUCUUUUAAAGGAUAUCUGUGUGGAUGAGAAAAGCCUGGACAAACUUCAGAAGCUGAUUCAGUCACUUGUAGUCAAGGAGUCUAGAUGUCUGUGAGAGGUAGGAGCGUGUUUUCAGCGCCAGCAAUGACGUGAU